GCAGUCUGCAACUCGACUGCAUGAAGCCGGAAUCGCUAGUAAUCGCGGAUCAGAAUGCCGCGGUGAAUACGUUCCCGGGUCUUGUACACACCGCCCGUCACACCAUGGGAGUCGGAAAUGCCCGAAGCCGGUGGCCUAACCGAUAAGGGAGGAGCCGUCGAAGGCAGGUCUGAUGACUGGGGUGAAGUCGUAACAAGGUAGC
rnacentral:rRNA from 1 species